rnacentral:lncRNA from 1 species
GGAAGGUGUCCAAACCACAACGGGCUCUCACAGUUGCUUCUCUCUUAAACAGUCUAACUUCAACAUUUGAUCCAAUGUGAAAUUUUUCCAAAAUUCAGUUUGGGUCCAGUGAAUUCUGAAACAGGACAGAGACAACCAAAGUGCUGUGGCGAAGAAAGGGACUCAUACAUUCACCUCAAAGAAAUGGCUCACCAUCAGGAUGUCCAGG